UGAUGAGUCACAUCUGUGCUGAUGAUAGGAAAGGGCAAAGGAUGACAAGAAUCUUUUUCCACAUCGGUAACACUCAAACUGUUUUGGUGUUUUUCUCCAUUGUGGAUGUGUAGGUGAGUCUUAAGGUUACCCCUUUGGUUGAAAGUCUUCCCACAGUGGUCACAGUUAUAUGGUCUUUCUCCGCUGUGGAUGCGAAGAUGUGUCUUAAGGUGAGUAAUGCGGGUGAAAGUCUUCCCACACUGGUCACAGUUAUAUGGUCUUUCUCCACUGUGGAUGCGUAGGUGUGUCUUAAGGGUAGGUGCGUGGGUGAAAGUCUUACCACACUGGUCACAAAAAUAUGGUCUUUCUCCUCUGUGGAUGCGUUGGUGUAUC